rnacentral:rRNA from 1 species
ACGCGAUCACUCCUACGGGAGGCAGCAGUGGGGAAUCUUAGACAAUGGGGGAAACCCUGAUCUAGCCAUGCCGCGUGAGUGAUGAAGGCCUUAGGGUCGUAAAGCUCUUUCGCCUGUGAUGAUAAUGACAGUAGCAGGUAAAGAAACCCCGGCUAACUCCGUGCCAGCAGCCGCGGUAAUACGGAGGGGGUUAGCGUUGUUCGGAAUUACUGGGCGUAAAGCGCACGUAGGCGGAUUGGGAAAGUUGGGGGUGAAAUCCCGGGGCUCAACCCCGGAACGGCCUCCAAAACUCCCAGUCUGGAGUUCGAGAGAGGUGAGUGGAAUUCCGAGUGUAGAGGUGAAAUUCGUAGAUAUUCGGAGGAACACCAGUGGCGAAGGCGGCUCACUGGCUCGAUACUGACGCUGAGGUGCGAAAGUGUGGGGAGCAAACAGGAUUAGAUACCCUGGUAG